UUUUUCGCCAUGCAAACAUACAAAGAACUUAAGGUGGCUCCCUACAGUUCUCUAAAAUUCUAGGUAUUUUGAGUAUCGUUCGCUUUGAACCGAAUUUAUAUUAGAUACACUUAAGACAAGGCAAUAUGAUCAUUUCCAGGAAAGUUCAGAAGCUGUGUGCUGCCAUUUAUGAACAAAUUAAAACAGUGUUUGUGUUGCCGUGGCAACCAUGAC